rnacentral:rRNA from 1 species
GAUGAACGCUGGCGGCGUGCCUAAUACAUGCAAGUCGAGCGAAUGGAUUAAGAGCUUGCUCUUAUGAAGUUAGCGGCGGACGGGUGAGUAACACGUGGGUAACCUGCCCAUAAGACUGGGAUAACUCCGGGAAACCGGGGCUAAUACCGGAUAACAUUUUGAACCGCAUGGUUCGAAAUUGAAAGUCGGCUUCGGCUGUCACUUAUGGAUGGACCCGCGUCGCAUUAGCUAGUUGGUGAGGUAACGGCUCACCAAGGCAACGAUGCGUAGCCGCCCGGAGAGGGUGAUCGGCCACACUGGGACUGAGACACGGCCCAGACUCCUACGGGAGGCAGCAGUAGGGAAUCUUCCGCAAUGGACUAAAGUCUGACGGAGCAACGCCGCGUGAGUGAUGAAGGCUUUCGGGUCGUAAAACUCUGUUGUUAGGGAAGAACAAGUGCUAGUUGAAUAAGCUGGCACCUUGACGGUACCUAACCAGAAAGCCACGGCUAACUACGUGCCAGCCGCCGCAGUAA